rnacentral:snoRNA from 1 species
CUACAGAUGUAAGAAAAACAUGGUCUUGCGCUUUCCGUCUGUCUAAUUGUGGCAGCUGAGAUUGAAUAGAGGAAUACAGGG